AUAUUGGAGGGCAAGUCUGGUGCCAGCAGCCGCGGUAAUUCCAGCUCCAAUAGCGUAUAUUAAAGUUGUUGCGGUUAAAAAGCUCGUAGUUGGAUUUCAGCUCAACCUAUGGGGUCCACUGAAAAAGGGUGGGUCAACUCUAUUUGCCUUCCUUACUCUUCACGGAGUGGGAGCAUUUAGGUUACCCUCCUGGUGGUUACUUCUAUAGCUGUUGGACACAAUUGUGACCGAUUUCUGCUUCUAAUGCUCUUAAUCGAGUGUUAGUUCAAGCAAUCGGUACUUUUACCUUGAAAAAAUUAGAGUGCUCAAAGCAGGCGUACCAACCCUCGCAAGAGGGGCCUACAACGGGUAUGGCCAACCAUCAGACAUGAUGAGUACCAUAUUCCCUAACUUGAAUAAUCUUGCAUGGAAUAAUAGAAUAUGACCUUGGUUCUAUUUUGUUGGUCUUCGGAAUCUGAGGUAAUGAUUAAGAGGGACAGACGGGGGCAUUCGUAUUGCGGCGCUAGAGGUGAAAUUCUUGGACCGUCGCAAGACGAACUACAGCGAAAGCAUUUGCCAAGAAUGUUUUCAUUAAUCAAGAACGAAAGUUAGAGGUUCGAAGGCGAUCAGAUACCGCCCUAGUUCUAACCAUAAACGAUGCCAA
rnacentral:rRNA from 1 species